AUUGAACGCUGGCGGCAGGCCUAACACAUGCAAGUCGAACGAGUGGCGGACGGGUGAGUAAUGUCUGGGAACCUGCCUGAUGGAGGGGGAUAACUACUGGAAACGGUAGCUAAUACCGCCUACCAGCCGCUGUGCCCAGAUGGGUUUAGCUUGUUGGUGGGGUACCGGCACACCAAGGCGCCGAUCCCUAGCUGGUCUGAGAGGAGGACCAGCCACACUGGAACUGAGACACGGUCCAGACUCCUACGGGAGGCAGCAGUGGGGAAUAUUGGACAAUGGGCGCAAGCCUGAGGCAGCCAUGCCGCGUGUAUGAAGAAGGCCUUCGGGUUGUAAAGUACUUUAAGCGGGGAGGCGUUACCAGCAGAAGAAGCACCGGCUAACUCCGUGCCAGCAGCCGCGGUAAUAC
rnacentral:rRNA from 1 species